AGUUCCGGCGCCGCUCCCCGAGGGAGGACGGAACGCCCGCCCGGGAGAGAAAGUCCGGGAGCCGCUCACGGGGGCCUCGACCCCACCCCCUCCGGAGAGCGGGUCCCGGGAAGCCCUGAGCCUCCUUCUCUCCCAGGCGAGACCCUGGCGUUUCAACCCACACGCCCGGUGUGGAAGACGUAGGGGCGCAAUUGCAGCCUCUGCCCCUUCAUGCGCUCAUUCAACAAAAACUUUUUUUUUUUUGAGACCGAGUCUCGCUCUGUCGCCCAGGCUGGACCGCAGUGUCGCAAUCUUGGCUCACUGCAAGCUCCACCUCUCGGGUUCAAGCGAUUCUCCUGCCUCAGCCUCCCGAGUACGUGGGAUUACAGGCACCCACCAUCGUGCCCAGCUAUUUUUUGUAUUUUUACCAGAGACGGGGUUUCACCAUGUUGGCCAGGAUGGUCUCGAACUCCCGGCCUUAAGUGAUCCGCCCGCCUCGGCCACCCAAAGUGCUGGGAUUACAGACGUGAGCCACCGCUCCCGGCCCUGAACUGGAUUUCAAAGGAUGAAUAGCAGUUUGCCAAGCAGACAGGAGGUAGAGGGAACAGCAGGUGCCAGGCCCUGGAAGUGUAAGCGGUCACAGGAUGAUGCGAAAAAUACAGGAAAGUGACUUUGCCAAACCACCAAAUGUGAGGCCAGGGAGUGACGGGAGAUAAGGCUGGAGAUCACCAGGCGUCGUCCCAAAAGCUUGCUUUUCGCCCUGUAGGCAGCUGGGUACUGCAAAAGGUUAUUAAGCAGAGGAAUGUCAGCCGUAUUUGAAUUACAGCUAGAGCUCUUUGAGCAGUGUGGAGAAUGGAUGUUAAGACAAAUUCCACUUAGGAAGCAAGGAUCCUGGAGGAAGGGGGGGCCUGAGCUAUGCAGGCAGUGGUGAGAGAAGGGCACGGAGUCAACACCUGUUUGGAAAAUAGAAUUGACAUGUGGGGGUGCCAAUGGGAUAAAGCAGAUGACAAAAAGGGGUGUCGUCUCCAUAUUCUCCUUUAAGAGCAGAAGCCUUAGUUCAGAGACUCUCUCUACAAAGGUCCAGCCAUGGACAUGGGGACAAGAAAGCCAGUGGCAUAUGGUCACCUCAGACCCAGGGCACCCACGACUUCGGUUAUUUUUUUUUUUUUUUUGAGGUGGAGUCUCGUUCUGUCUCCCAGGCUGGAGUGCAGUGGCGAAAUCUCGGCUCACUGCAACCUCCACCUCCCGGGUUUAAGCGAUUCUCCUGCCUCAGCCUCCUGAGUAGCUGGGACUACAGGCGUGUGCCGUGGUGGAUGUUUUUGUUAUCACUGUUUGCUAUGUGGCAUUUGAACAGCCUUCCUAUCUGGGGAGAAGGGAGCCUCCAUGGUGGGGCUCUGGGUGGCAGAGAUUUCUGGUAACUGGGACAGAUGCGAGUCCAGGCACUUGGCUGCCUGACUUGAAUCUGGAGUGGUGUCCCAAAGAAACAAACAGGUAACAGUGGAGAAAUCACGGUGCCAGUGCGGGGCCUGUGGCCCUCCACGUCCUACACUGGCAUCUAGAGGAGGUUCCUGGCUUGGCCGUGGGUCUAGCUGCCCAGUUUCCUAUAAUUCUUACGAGUUUCCCAACCUUAAUUUCCCAGACUCUUUUCUUUUUUCUUUUUGAGACGGAGUCUCACUCUGUUGUGCAGGCCGCAGUGCAGUGGCGCGAUCUCGGCCCACUGCAACGUCCGUGUCCCUGGGCAAGCAAUUCUCCUGCCUCAGCCUCCUGAGUAGCUGGGAUUACAGGCGCCCGCCACUACGCCCGGCUAAUUUUUUGUAUUUUUAUUAGAGACAGGGUUUCACCAUGUUGGCCAGGCUGGUCUUGAACUCCUGACCUCAAGCGAUUGGCCUGCCUCGGCCUCCCAAAGUGCUGGGAUUACAGGCGUGAGUGACUGUGCCCUAGACUUUUUUUCCGUUGAUUUUGUGAGCUACCUCAGAGCCAAUACCUGCCUCUUCCUUCUGCUCAAGUUGGAUUUGGUUGUUUCCAACCAAGAAUCCUGACAACACAGCGUAGAGAUAAGCAGUCAUCCUGGUCAACCUCGCUGACUCCCAAGCCAAUCCCAACUUCAAGAGGUGCAGCAGGUGACUUAACCUCUCUGACCCUCACUCUGUUUCUUCAUCUGUAAAAUGAAUUGGUAACUGCCACAUAAGAGAGCUGUGAGCAUUAAAUGACACCAUGCACAGAAAGCCCUUAGCACGGUACCUGGCACAUUGUGGGCACUUAAUAAUUAGUUAUGAUCAGCUGGGCGCGGUGGCUCACGCCUGUAAUCCCAGCACUGUGGGAGGCCG
rnacentral:lncRNA from 10 species